rnacentral:tRNA from 1 species
UGGGGUGUCGGCAAGCGGUUAAGCCAACGGGUUUUGGACCCGUCACUCGGAGGUUCGAAUCCUCCCACCCCAG